rnacentral:rRNA from 1 species
UACGUAGGUGGCAAGCGUUAUCCGGAUUUACUGGGUGUAAAGGGCGUGUAGGCGGGACUGCAAGUCAGAUGUGAAAACUAUGGGCUUAACCCAUAGCCUGCAUUUGAAACUGUGGUUCUUGAGUGAUGGAGAGGCAGGCGGAAUUCCGUGUGUAGCGGUGAAAUGCGUAGAUAUACGGAGGAACACCAGUGGCGAAGGCGGCCUGCUGGACAUUAACUGACGCUGAGGCGCGAAAGCGUGGGGAGCAAAC